UGAGUACGAGAUGCUACGGCAUCGAAGCAGUCUAUGUCAUACUUCCAAGAAAAGCUUGCAAUGUCAUAAACAAAUAAUGCCUGUACCAUAACCGACACAGGUGGGUAGGUAGAGUAUACUAAGGGGCGCGAGAUAACUCUCUCUAAGGAACUCGGCAAAAUGACUCCGUAACUUCGGGAGAAGGAGUGCCUUAUUUUUAUAAGGUUGCAAUAACAAGAUCCAAGCAACUGUUUACCAAAAACACAGGUCUCCGCUAAGUCGUAAGACGAUGUAUGGGGGCUGACGCCUGCCCAGUGCCAGAAGGUUAAAGAAGUUGGUUAGCAUUAGCGAAGCUGAUAACAGAAGCCCUGGUGAACGGCGGCCGUAACGAUAACGGUCCUAAGGUAGCGAAAUUCCUUGUCGGGUAAGUUCCGACCCGCACGAAAGGCGUAAUGAUUUGGAUACUGUCUCGGAGAGGGGCUCGGUGAAAUAGACUUGUCUGUGAAGAUGCGGACUACCUGCACCUGGACAGAAAGACCCUAUGAAGCUUUACUGUAACUUGAGAUUGAAAUUGGACUUUAUCUGCGCAGUAUAGGUGGGAGACGUUGAAAAUAUUCUUGCGGGAAUAUUGGAGUCAUCAGUGAGAUACCACUCUUAUAAUGUUAGAUUUCUAACUUUGUAUCAUUAUCUGGUCAAAGAACAGUUUCAGGCGGGCAGUUUGACUGGGGCGGUCGCCUCCCAAACGGUAACGGAGGCGCACAAAGGUUUCCUCUGAACGUGUAGAAAUCGUAUCUAGAGUGUAAAGGCAUAAGGAAGCUUGACUGUGAGACCUACAAGUCGAGCAGGGACGAAAGUCGGUCUUAGUGAUCUGACGGUGCUGAGUGGAAAGGCCGUCACUCAACGGAUAAAAGUUACUCUAAGGAUAACAGGCUGAUCUCCCCCAAGAGUUCACAUCGACGGGGAGGUUUGGCACCUCGAUGUCGGCUCAUCGCAUCCUGGGGCGGUAGUACGUCCCAAGGGUUGGGCUGUUCGCCCAUGAAAGCGGUACGCGAGCUGGGUUCAGAACGUCGUGAGACAGUUCGGUCCAUAUCCGGUGUAGGCGUUAGAAUAUUGAGAGGAGCCUUCUUUAGUACGAGAGGACCGAGAAGGACAUACCUCUGGUGUACCAGUUAUCGUGCCAACGGUAAACACUGGGUAGCCAUGUAUGGAGAGGAUAACCGCUGAAAGCAUCUAAGUGGGAAGCCCACCUCAAGAUAAG
rnacentral:rRNA from 1 species